UCUUCAUUAAGAAAGCAUCACAAUUCUAUAGUUGCUAAGAUUUUAGAAACAACUUAAACUUGUAACCGUUAUUUCGGAGGACACACAAACAACACGGUCCAGGUAUAGAAUAUUGAUUUUACAAUAGAAUUCAAAUUGAUUGUAAUGCCCUUGAACUUUUCAAGACGUUAAAUCAAAUUAACAUCAUUUCCUUACGAAGCUAGGAACUCUAAACAAACAUUUUAUGCAUUCAUAUGCCCACUAUACAUUUAGUUCAUCCAAAUC
rnacentral:lncRNA from 1 species